rnacentral:misc_RNA from 2 species
AAGUCGUAACAAGGUUUCCGUAGGUGAACCUGCGGAAGGAUCAUUAUUGAAUAAACUUGGCGUGGUUGAGCUGACUCUCUCGGGAGUAUGUGCUCGCUCGUCAUCUUUAUCUUUCCACCUGUGCACUUUUUGUAGAUUUGGAUGUAACUUUCUGAGGCAACUCAGUUGGGAGGAAUGCUAUUUCGAUGGCUUUCCUUGUAUGUCCAAGUCUAUGUUUUCAUAUACUCCAAGUAUGUAACAGAAUGUAUCACUGGGCCUUGUGCCUAUAAACCUUAUACAACUUUCAGCAACGGAUCUCUUGGCUCUC